UACGUAGGGUGCGAGCGUUAAUCGGAAUUACUGGGCGUAAAGCGUGCGCAGGCGGUUUUGUAAGCCAGAUGUGAAAUCCCCGGGCUUAACCUGGGAAUGGCAUUUGGGACUGCAAGGCUUGAGUGCGGCAGAGGAGACUGGAAUUCCUGGUGUAGCAGUGAAAUGCGUAGAUAUCAGGAGGAACACCGAUGGCGAAGGCAGGUCUCUGGGCUGACACUGACGCUCAUGCACGAAAGCGCGGGGAGCAAACAGG
rnacentral:rRNA from 1 species